rnacentral:rRNA from 1 species
GUGGGGAAUCUUAGACAAUGGGCGCAAGCCUGAUCUAGCCAUGCCGCGUGAGCGAUGAAGGCCUUAGGGUUGUAAAGCUCUUUCGUGGGGGAAGAUAAUGACUGUACCCCAAGAAGAAGCCCCGGCUAACUCCGUGCCAGCAGCCGCGGAAAUACGGAGGGGGCUAGCGUUGUUCGGAAUUACUGGGCGUAAAGAGCACGUAGGCGGACUGGAAAGUCAGGGGUGAAAUCCCGAGGCUCAACACCGGAAGUGCCGUUGAAACUACCAGUCUUGAGUUCGAGAGAAGAGAGUGGAAUUCCGAGUGUAGAGUGGAAAUUCGUAGCUAUUCGGAGGAACACCAGUGACGAAGGCGGCUCACUGGCUCGAUACUGACGCUGAGGUGCGAAAGCGUGGGGAGCAAACAGGAUUAGAAACCCGUGUAGUCC